rnacentral:rRNA from 1 species
GAUGAACGCUGGCGGCGUGCCUAAUACAUGCAAGUCGAGCGAGCAGAUAAGGAGCUUGCUCCUUUGACGUUAGCGGCGGACGGGUGAGUAACACGUGGGUAACCUACCUAUAAGACUGGGAUAACUUCGGGAAACCGGAGCUAAUACCGGAUAACAUUUGGAACCGCAUGGUUCUAAAGUGAAAGAUGGUUUUGCUAUCACUUAUAGAUGGACCCGCGCCGUAUUAGCUAGUUGGUAAGGUAACGGCUUACCAAGGCGACGAUACGUAGCCGACCUGAGAGGGUGAUCGGCCACACUGGAACUGAGACACGGUCCAGACUCCUACGGGAGGCAGCAGUAGGGAAUCUUCCGCAAUGGGCGAAAGCCUGACGGAGCAACGCCGCGUGAGUGAUGAAGGGUUUCGGCUCGUAAAACUCUGUUAUUAGGGAAGAACAAAUGUGUAAGUAACUGUGCACGUCUUGACGGUACCUAAUCAGAAAGCCACGGCUAACUACGUG